UACGGAGGAUCCAAGCGUUACCCGGAAUUACUGGGCGUAAAGCGUUGCGCAGGCGGCCUGUUAAGUCGAAUCUGAAAUCUCAAGGCUCAACCUUGAGUUUAGCUUCGAAACUAACAAGCUAGAGAAUGGCAGAGGCGAGCGGAAUUUGUAGUGUAGGGGUGAAAUCCGUAGAUACUACAAGGAACACCAAUGGCGUAGGCAGCUCGCUGGGCCACUUCUGACGCUCAUGCACGAAAGCGUGGGUAGCGAACCGG
rnacentral:rRNA from 1 species